rnacentral:snoRNA from 1 species
GGAUGAAGAGGAUUUUAUUUUUUCUCAAGAUGAAUAGUGGACCCAUGCCAGAGGAAGUUGCAGCCUCAAACCAUUGCCCAGCCUCCUUACCCUUGGGCUGUGAGCACUGAAGGGGGCUGUACAGUA